UGGGGAAUUUUGGACAAUGGGGGAAACCCUGAUCCAGCCAUCCCGCGUGUGCGAUGAAGGCCUUCGGGUUGUAAAGCACUUUUGGCAGGAAAGAAACGUCAUGGGUUAAUACCCCGUGAAACUGACGGUACCUGCAGAAUAAGCACCGGCUAACUACGUGCCAGCAGCCGCGGUAAUACGUAGGGUGCAAGCGUUAAUCGGAAUUACUGGGCGUAAAGCGUGCGCAGGCGGUGCGGAAAGAAAGAUGUGAAAUCCCAGAGCUUAACUUUGGAACUGCAUUUUUAACUACCGGGCUAGAGUGUGUCAGAGGGAGGUGGAAUUCCGCGUGUAGCAGUGAAAUGCGUAGAUAUGCGGAGGAACACCGAUGGCGAAGGCAGCCUCCUGGGAUAACACUGACGCUCAUGCACGAAAGCGUGGGGAGCAAACA
rnacentral:rRNA from 1 species